UACGUAGGGGGCAAGCGUUGUCCGGAUUUAUUGGGCGUAAAGAGUGUGUAGGCGGUGUUCCCAGUCUGUUGUGAAAUCUCCCGGCUUAACUGGGAGGGUGCAGCGGAAACUAGAAUGCUAGAGGGUGGGAGAGGUAAGCAGAAUUCCUGGUGUAGCGGUGAAAUGCGUAGAUAUCAGGAGGAACACCUGUGGUGUAGACAGCUUACUGGACCACUUCUGACGCUGAGACACGAAAGCGUGGGUAGCAAACAGG
rnacentral:rRNA from 1 species